rnacentral:rRNA from 1 species
UACGUAGGGGGCAAGCGUUGUCCGGAUUCAUUGGGCGUAAAGAGCGUGUAGGCGGCCAGGUAGGUCGGUUGUGAAAACUGGAGGCUCAACCUUCAGAGGUCGACCGAAACCAUCUGGCUAGAGUCCGGGAGAGGAGAGUGGAAUUCCUGGUGUAGCGGUGAAAUGCGCAGAUAUCAGGAAGAACACCGAUGGCGAAGGCAGGUCACUGGGCCGCAACUGACGCUGAGGAGCGAAAGCAUGGGGAGCGAACAGG